rnacentral:rRNA from 1 species
GCGGCAGAACAAUGCAAGUCGAACGAACGAGCUUGCUCGUUGUGGCGGACGGCUGAGUAACGCGUACCUGAACAAAAAAAAAGGGGGGAAACUGCCCGAAAGGGUGGCUAAUACCUUAUGUGGCGAUGCGUUCAUUCGCAUCAUCAAAGCAGCGAUGCGCUUCGGGAGGGGCCUGCGUCCGAUUAGCUCGUUGGUGGGGUAACGGCUCACCAAGGCGACGAUCGGUAGGUGGUCUGAGAGGACGAUCACCCAGACUGGGACUGAGACACGGCCCAGACUCCUACGGGAGGCAGCAGUCGGGAAUUUUGCUCAAUGGGGGAAACCCUGAAGCAGCAACGCCGCGUGAGGGAUGAAGGCCCUCGGGUUGUAAACCUCUUUUCUCAGGGACGAUGAUGACGGUACCUGAGGAAUAAGUCACGGCUAACUACGUGCCAGCAGCCGCGGUAAUA